rnacentral:misc_RNA from 1 species
ACAAACUUGGUCAUUUAGAGGAAGUAAAAGUCGUAACAAGGUUUCCGUAGGUGAACCUGCGGAAGGAUCAUCUUUGAAUUUGAUCACCAAAUUUCCAGGGGGUCUGUGGUCCACUUCUGGACCCUUGCCUUCUUUUUUCUCUGGGAAUUUGCAUUCGUCUUUUGACGGCUGCAUUUUCCCAAACCCAACUCUAAUAUAAUAAUAACACAACUUUUAACGAUGGAUCUCUUGGCUCCCGCAUCGAUGAAGAACGCAGC